rnacentral:rRNA from 1 species
AUGAUACUGCGAGACCAUGAAGGGGCGGUCAUUUUUGCCUCCUGCCGGUUCAUCCAACGCUGCACCAGUGCACUCGAGGCGGAGGUCGCAGCGUGCAUGGAGGGCUUGACCCUUGCCCUCGAAUGGAGCAGAGCCCCUCUCAUUAUUGAGACAGACUGCACGUUUGCGGCAAGCAUGUUGUAUGAUCCUGAGCUCAAUAGAUCACCGGUUGCAUCUCUGAUAGAAGCAACGAAGCGGCACCUUGCGGCUGGGUGUCAACAUGUAAUUAAGGUGAUCAAGAGAGAACAAAAUAGUGUUAGCCAUGCUUUGGCCCAGAUGGGGCGAUCUGUACCCAGAACAGCCGUUUGGCUGCGUUCGGUCCCUGAAGAGGUUGACUUGCUAUGUCAACAGGAUUGUAAUGACAACGUUUGA